rnacentral:misc_RNA from 1 species
GCCAUGAAUAUGAUGGCAACUAACAUGGGUAACAACAUGAUGAUGCCAACAAAUAUGGGCAACAACAAAGGCGCCAUGAAUGCCAAUGUAGCCAACAUGAUGAACGCCGCCGUAAACAUGGGCAACAACAUGAACACAAUGCCAGCUAACAUGAAUAAUGCUGUGAACAUGAUGAUGGCAGCUAAUAUGGGCAACAACAAUAAUGGAGCCAAUAUGGCAAAUGUGAUGAACGCCAUGAACAUGAUGCCAGCUAAUAUUGGUAACAACAAAGGAGCAAUGAACGUUAUGAUGCCAGCUAAUAUGGGCAACAACAACAAUGGAGCCAUGAAUGCCAACAUGGCAAAUAUGAUGAACGCCGUAAACAUGAUGAUGAUCAAUGGAGGAAAUAAUGGAGCUAUGGGAAAUGCAAUGAUGCCAAACAACAUUGGACCCAAUAACAACGCUGGCAUGAAUAUGAAAUCCGCCUAUACUGCCUAUUAAACACAUGUGGAUAUUGUGCCAAUAACAAACGUCCCGAGGAGCUCUGAUUUACGCCUUAUUUCAUAUUUCAUAUUUAAUAAAAUGCAUGGCUGACACA